rnacentral:rRNA from 1 species
AACGUAGGACGCAAGCGUUAUCCGGAGUUACUGGGUGUAAAGGGCGCGUAGGCGGCUACGCACGUCCGUUGUGAAAUCGCUCGGCUCAACUGGGCGGGGUCAGCGGAUACGGUGUAGCUGGAGCAAGCUAGGGGGCAAUGGAAUUCCCGGUGUAGUGGUGGAAUGCGUAGAUAUCGGGAGGAACACCAGUGGCGAAGGCGGUUGCCUGGAGCUUUGCUGACGCUGAUGCGCGAAAGCGUGGGGAGCGAUCCGG